AGUAUUUACUUAUUUUUAAUAAGUUGAUACUGCUGUUUUGUUCAGUGUUGCUGGUCUUUGAUUAUAGAAUUCAUGGAAAUAUUAAUAACUCCCUGAUAGCUUAGAUAAGAAUCUGGUUUCUAAAAUGCUAGUGAACUUGAAAGGUAACACAAAUGCUUAUUUCCUAACUGGAUUGCUUAUUUCCAAAUAUGUGAUUGUUAGGAAAUUAUGUUAAAUCUUAUCCUCCCUUAUUAUAAAAAAGCUAGAAGUAAUGACAGCCUGUCUGUUGCAUAUCAUUUCCUCAACGAUUAGGUUCCUCUCUGAAGGAUUAUGUACAGAUUGCUUUUAUUUCAAUAGUAUCCUGCUUGUCAAAUCAAAUACGAUUCUACUUGUUUUAGGUAACUGCACACUUGUUUACUUAUGAGCCUACACUCGGGAGUCCCAGACUUAAUGCUUUGGAACCUUUACAUGUUUAUUUUAAAAAUCAGGUGUUUAACUUGUGAAAAUCGCAUGUAGUAAAGCUAAAAAAGAAACUUACUUUAAAAACAAACAAAAUCCCCCAAACAAUCCUUUACCCCACUUUAAUUUUGACCUAGGCGUAUAUUAACUUCUCAUUUUCAUCUUCCUGUACACAUAAUUUAUAGUUGUAAUGUCUAUAUAACUAUUGUACUGCAAUGGAUCAUAAAUAUUUUCCCAUUUCCACAUAUGCCUUAAUAAUAAAAAUGAUGAUGUGUGUAUGUUA